GUUAACUGGUCAGUGUAGUGGGAUUAUACGUCAGGGGACACAGGUUAACUGGUCAGUGUAGUGGGAUUAUAUGUCAGGGGACACAGGUUAACUGGUCAGUGUAGUGGGAUUAUACGUCAGGCGACACAGGUUAACUGGUCAGUGUAGUGGGAUUAUACGUCAGGGCACACAGGUUAACUGGUCAGUGUAGUGGGAUUAUAUGUCAGGGGACACAGGUUAACUGGUCAGUGUCGUGGGAUUAUAGAUGAGGGGAUACAGAUAAACUGGUCAGUGUAGUGGGAUUAUACAUCAGGGGACACAGGUUAACUGGUCAGUCUGUGGGCUUAUAGAUGAGGGGACACAGGUUAACUGGUCAGUGUAGUGGGAUUAUAUGUCAGGCGACACAGGUUAACUGGUCAGUGUAGUGGGAUUAUACGUCAGGGGACACAACUGGUCAGUGUAGUGGGAUUAUACGUCAGGCGACACAGGUUAACUGGUCAGUCUGUGGGUUUAUAGAUGAGGGGAUACAGGUUAACUGGUCAGUGUAGUGGGAUUAUACGUCAGGGGACACAGGUUAACUGGUCAGUGAAGUGGGAUUAUAAAUCAGGGGACACAGGUUAUCUGGUCAGUGUAGUGGGAUUAUAGAUGAGGGGAUACAGA
ensembl:lncRNA